GUGUGUGAAAGUGAAUGGACUCUCUGUGCUCAUAGUUCUGCUCCAGCACAGCCACACCCUGCUCCUCUUACACACUCUGUGUGUGUGUGUGUGUGUGUGUGUGUAUAGAGUAGAGAGUGAGGUCAGAAGAGGCCUUAUUUGGUAAUCUCUCUCUCUCUCUCUCUCUCUCUCUCUCUCUCUUCUUUUUAAAACUGUGGCACUCGGCCUUCACUCUCUCAGGUUCUCAUCGAGAGACUGAGGGAAACUCACUCACUUCUCCUCUUCUCUGUUUCUUUCUCUUUCUCUCGCCCUUUCCCUCCACCCCUUACUAAACUAAACUCUCUCUCUCUCUCUCUUUACAUCCCUCUUCGCCUCCUCCCUCUCUUCCAGUAUUCUCCCUAUCCUCUCACUGUUUCAGAUUCCUCCCUCUAUUUCUCUUCUGUCCUUUCCUUCUCUUUCUUUCCUCCUCUUUUUUUCUCUCUCUCUAUCCCAUCUUCAUCUCGGUUACUCUUUUUCUCUUUUACUCGCUCUCUCCUUUUAUCCCCCCCCCCCCCAUUUUCUCACUUGUCCUUCUCCCUCUCUUCUCUUUGUUCCUCGCUCUUUUUAAAACUUUUUUAUCAUUACGCUCUCUCGCUCAUUCCCUCUCACUUUCUCCCUAUUUUUCCUCUUCUCCUUUCAUUUUUACUAUCUUCAUCCCUCUACCUUCAUCCCUCCAUCUCAGCAUUAAUUAAAGUGACAGGAGAAUCACGGCCGUUGCACAGAGUGAAAGAAGCACUCUCUUUUCUGCUUAUUAAGAAAGAGAAAGUGCUGUACGCAGCAGUCGGACCAGACAGACCUGCAGACAGAAGAUUAACGUGCAGGUUGGUCUAGGAGGGGAGGAGACAGUGAAAUAAAAGCAAAACCUUUUCUCCUGGUUAUCAGUCAGAGAUGAUGUGGCCUGCUGCUGACGGUGUAAACAGAGACGCCACAUUCCUCACAUUCCACGGCAGCGCGCUCAGCUCCGAGACUCACUCCUUACUUCUUCAUUUCACACUUUAAUCAUCAGAUCCCUGCGUUCUGGAUCAGCAGAAAUCUCAUCUGAAUCCUGGAAUAACAAAGCACCUUCAUACCACGGAGCACAGCGCUCUAACACGCUGCAUCGUAUUAUUUUACAGGAAAGUGAUCAAAGAGGGGCUGGAGUUACUGCUACCAGUCUGAAGCUGAUGAUUUUCCUGUAAGAGCAUGUCCUGCAGUGUUUUAUUCCUCUUACACCACAGCGAUGUGUCGUUCACGGUCUAUGAAAGAUGUUCGUCCCCUCACCGGCGUCCCUGGUUUUUCUCAAGACAAAAAAGAAUAAUAAUCGCAGCUUGUCAUGUUGCCGAGAAACCACGCAGCGUAAACCCCUGAAAAUGUCCUACGACUUGAAGUGACAGCUUCAGCUCGUUCUGUUACAAAGCGCUGACGCUGGAGACUCCUUCCAUAAACAUCUCCGUGCACAAAACUUCGCCGUAUCAGUGAUUCGACUCACUUUUAUUUAUCUCAUUUAUACACCCGUGCUGUCGAGGGUCAAGGGCCGUGCUCAGGGGCGCAGCACCGACAGCUCGGUGGUGCUGGGGUUUGCGCUCGCGACUGUCCGAGCCGACGUCCAACGUCUUAACCGCCGAGCUACCGGCACCCUACACGUGUGUUUAAUCCGUUCACCUGACAGAAACGAUGUCAAAUGUAUUCGAACGAGGACGUUAACCUGUAAACGUGUCAUCUGCAGCUGCACGGCGGUCAGAGUUACGGGAAAUGAAUCAACACCUUCCGACCAAUCAGAAUGCAGGAUUCAGCAGCGUGGCGGUAUGAACCGGUUUACCUCAUCCCCACAGCUCAGAGACCAGAGUUUAAUUAACAGCUUGGACAAAGUAGCGCCAAGUUAUUACCCCAGCUCCUCUCAUGCUGAGUUUACUUCAUUUGGAUUUCUGAAUCCACCCAAAACCCAAAGACGUUCCCCAGAAAGUGGGCGUGGUUCACUUAGGGCAAGUUCCUUUGAAGUGCUGUUCUGAAGGCUGCAGGGACAGGAACGAACCAAAGGGACGUACGACCAGAGUCAGGAUCUGUGUUUGUGACGGAGCCUGGGUUAGAUAUAUUAGCAGUGUGUGUGCGUGUGUGUGUGUGUGUGUGUGUGUGUGUGUGUGUGUGUGUCCUUGCAGCUGAUUAAUGAUGUUGAUAUUUUGUCUGGGUGACAAAAACUCACAUCACAACGUCUCUGAAGUACAGGAUGUUUGUGAGUAGCUGGCGUCAGGCCUCUAACAAAAAUAAAUAUGUACACACACACACACACACACACACACACACACACACACACACAAUCCUGGGCUGUUUUUAAGGAGUUAUUUAGUCAAAUGUAAACUAUGUACCCUUUACCCUCUAUACAGUGGAUCAACCAAGACAUGUUCCGUGACUAAAGACUUUUUGUCUCACAAGGACACGUGUGUGUGUGAUCUUUAAAUAUCAACACCGGGCGGCCAUCUUGAAAGUCGCUCCUCAUGUUGGAGGAUACAUGGACGAUAAAACACUCCCGCUUUCACCCAAAGGCUUCUAGACUUUUCAGGACCCGAGACUAAGCGUUCGGUUCCUUUGACAGUGGUCUGGGGUUCACUUCAUGAAAAAGCUGGUGUGUGGGCUGGGCAUCCGAAAAAAAACCAAAAAACCCACCAUGACUCUUUAAUCUGCGUAAUUAAAACUAGCUCUAACUGCAGGUGUUAUAUGAAUGAUGGCACCUUUUUCAUGAUCGUUUUGGAGCAGCGAUUAUCUUCGGCGUAAUCGAGCCGAAAGUGCGAAUACGCUACACUCGAUAAAUCCGUCAAUAUGAACAAUUCCAGGCGUUUUCACAAACGGCUAUAGCUUAACAAUGUUGUAUGAAGGAGGCUUUCAAACAAAGAACGCGUCUUGGCUGAUCUACUGCGUUCGGGUUUAGGGAGAAAAAUAUGCCCUUUUCGGGGGUUUUUGCUGACUCAGUCUUGCAUCAUCGUUAUCAUCUCUCUUACACACACACACACACACACACACACACACACACACGCACGCACACACGCACACAAAUCAAUUCCUGGUUUUCAUGCCAUUUUGUGGAUGAAUCUGAGCUCAAGAAUGUUCCGUUUAUCAUCACAUAGUUGUUCUAAGCGAGGGGACAACACGUGUACAGAGCACAGAAACACAUCUCUAUCAGUAAAUAACGGUUCCUUGAGGGCUCUCCGGACGUUUAACGGCUAUAGCUUUCCAAAGGGAAACACUCUGUUUAUGAACUCUGUCACGUUCCCCUCGAGAUACAAGACGAAGAACGCUUACUGUGCUAGAUUACUGUCUAGAUUACUAGAUUACUUAACGUCUGACAAAGUCUAAUUCACACUCACUCAUGUGUGUGAAAGACGUGUGAAACCUCUCCUUACAGAAAUGAAGCAGAACAUUUUCUUAAAUAGCAGCUGUCUAACCCGUGUAUUAUUAGUUUUACGUCAUGUGUGGAGUGUCGGGUGCACGAGUUCCCGUGGACGAGCUGUUACUAUAGAAACGAUAACGUAUUAGAGCGCGUUAUUAUUAUAUACCUGCGCUACUGUCAGAGCUCCUGGUCUGGGAAAUUAAUCAACACCUUCUGACCAAUCAGGAUCCAGAAUUGUGCAGCGCAGCGAAAGGAUGAUAGCGAGGGUUAAAAUGCGUGUUUUAUAUGUAGUGCGGCACGAAGGGCGUCAAAGGAACCGUUUUAACGCAGUAUUUAGGGAGCGGGGAGCUGUAUUUUGGAUUUAGCCAGGGGUGGAGGAAGUACUCAAACUUGGUACUUAAAUAAAAGUACAAAUAACCAGAGAAAAACGCACUCCAGUUAAAGUAGAAGUACCACAUUAACCACCUUAGUUAAGUAAAAGUAAGGAAGUACUUGCUUUUAAAUAUACUUAAAGUAUUAAAUGUAAAUGUACUUGUCUAGUAGGUUGCCCAUUACAACUAUCUAUAUUUGAAUUAAAGCAUAGGUAUGGGCUGUGUCAUUUUAAUAAGGAAUGCUAAAGAUGAUGCUACUGGUAAUACUUGCAAACAAUAAUCUCUUUUUAAUAAUUGGAAACGUUGUCGAACUUAUGUUUACCCUCUGCGGACUUACAACUCAGUAGAUGAUGAGUUAUCCCCUGGGUUUGACCUGCGGAGUUAAAUGCCAUUAACCAUUUUCAAAUAUUCCCUUUCAUGUAGUGUGUUAUAUACGGAGCAGUUUGUGAAUGUAAAAACAUCUGUAAAGUUUAAAAAAUCAAAGCGCAGGACAAACGGAGUUAUCGACUCCCAAAAGAAGGAAUCGAUUCUGAAUGGCUGAAUCGACUCAUUAGAGAUUCCAGACUUUACUUCCUGUACUAACCUACGUAGGUCCGUAACAAAAAGCCCCGCCUCUGGUCUUCAUCGGCUUGCACGCUGACAGCAGUAGACCAAUCACGACAGACUGGGACGUCUGACCAAUCAGAGCAGAGUAUGCUCUCUGAAAGGAGGAGUUUAGAGCGAAUCCUUUAGAACGAAUCAUUUAACGAGUCGUUUGUGACACUGCGGGGAAAGGUAUCGCUGCAGUUUAAAUUAUGAGCACGUUAAAGUGUUUUUUGACCUCGGAUGCACGUAAAUCUACCGUAUGAGAGCUUUAAAACAUAAUUAGACACGUUUCAAAUCCAUAAUAGGUGCACUUUAAGACAAAGGUAGAUCUUAAAAUGAGAAAAUGAGAAUGAAUGAAUUUGAAAUGAGAAUUUAACCACAGCUAGUAACUAUUUGUAGUUUUUAAACCUUUCCUCUCUGUAACAUCUAUAAGGACAGUCUUGCCAUGUUAACUUUUACAUGAAAAACCAUUCUAGCUCAAUAUGCUUCUUCAAAUUUGAGUGCGGAUUCUUGAAAGCCAGCAACUCAUGCUUUCGAGGGAGACAAAGAACGCACCUGUUAUCUCAAAUAACUCCUUUAAACAGGGCCAUGGGUGGCAUGUAUCAGAUGGCUGAGAGAUGGAAUCCGUGUUUUCCCGAGUGCCAGGCUACUACUGCUGCUCUCAUGAAGAAGGGAUCCUACCUGAUUGGUUUAAACUUUACUGGACCGGCAACGCUCUCCCUGUUCUUAAAUGUAAACAUAUUGGCCAAAAAAAACACACCAUAAAAAGCGAUCAUAAUAUGUAACAGAAUGCACUGUAGAAAUGUAGUGGAGUAGAAAGUAUAGAGAUAUCCACUGUUAAUUCUACUGAAGUAAAGUACAGAUACCUGAACAAUGGACUUAAAUACAUUCCACCACUGGAUUCAGCCCUAGUCCACACCUAACCUUACAGAACAUAAACAAAAAAGGAAUGAAAGGGAGGGGACGCAUUGAGAAAAUGGAGCUUAUACGUACAUACGAACAAACAAACAAAUAAACAGAUAAAUAAAUAAAGUGUUGAUAAUGUAGUGUGUGUGUAUGUGAGAGAGAGAGAGAGAGAGAGAGAGAGAGAGAUGAGAAAAGUUGGUGGCAUGGCUGUGUAUGAGUGUGCAUGAGUAAUUCCUGGCAUUCCUCACAUGGGCGGCACUACAACAGGGACAACAAAGAGUGAUGAUGCAGCGUCAUCCUGCACAGCAGCCUGAAUACUUAUAUGGGCAUAAAGAUCCUUAGUGCACAUACCUUACUCAUUAAACAUUAGCUUAGGACUGCCUCAGUCCCCCCACAUCUCUCUCUCUCUCUCUCUCUCUCACACACACACACUCCUCUCUCUGUCUGUCUCUCUCUCUAGGGUUCAAGAUCAUGGGCCUCCUCCCAGACUGCACAGACAGGAUAUUAUUUGAAUAUUAGAGUUGCUAGAUCUCAUCUAAAUUUGCAUACGUGUGCAUAAUUCAAUGAUUAAUUAAUUAAUCAAUUAAUUAAAAGAGUAAGUGGGGUAAAUUUCAUUAUUACUAGACUUUUAAAAAAAACAAACAACAAAAAAUUAUAUAUAUAUAUA
ensembl:lncRNA